ensembl:ncRNA Uhg3 U snoRNA host gene 3
CCAGCCGAAAGCCGCACCACGUGUUGCCCAUUCCAAGAAAAAUAAACUAAAUUAGCACGAUGGCUAAUAGAAAACGCAACAAAAUUUUGCUUAAUACAAUAGAGAAAGAUAUGUCAAAUAGCUGAAAGUUAUAUGGUAACUAAAAGAUGUGCGGAUCACGAGAAACGAGCAAUUCACUUUGACAGCCUGGCAGCUGUGACCCAAAGAGUCUCACUUUGAGACUUCUUGGGACCAACCAGCAUGGGAAGUUUACGCGGUAAGAAUAAUACAGAAAGAAGAUCUCCACAACCAUGAUGAAAUCGUUAGAUGGGGACAACUGAUUACUGUGACUGAUUCAUCUCGAUAGUAGAUCUGAUUUUAAAAAUGUUGCUAGCCUACGUGCUUUCAUGUUCAACAGCACUAAAAUAACUCGUUCUUUUUAUAUAAUGCAGAAAACUGAUGUUUCUGACUGAAAACCGACGAAAGAAUGGUUUCCACACUUAUAAUGCAGAAAAACUGAUGUUUCUGACUGAAAACCGACGAAAGAAUGAUUUCCACACUUAUAAUGCUGAAACCCGAAUUUCUCUGACAGAAACCCUACGUAAGAAGGAUUUCCACACUUGGCUCCCUUGCAUGAUGCCAGAAAAGUGGACGUAAAAAAUCUAAUAAAAUUAUAUUUAUAGAAA